UUGAUCCUGGCUCAGAAUCAACGCUGGCGGCGUGCCUAACACAUGCAAGUCGAACGAGAAAGUGGAGCAAUCCAUGAGUAAAGUGGCGACCGGGUGAGUUACACGUGACCAAUCUACCCUUGAGUGGGGGAUAACCUCGGGAAACCGGGUCUAAUACCGCAUAACAUCCCCGGAUCGGAAGAACUGGGGAUCAAAGGAGUAAUUCGCUUAAGGAGGAGGUCGCGGCUGAUUAGCUAGUUGGCGGGGUAAUGGCCCACCAAGGCAAAGAUCGGUAGCCGGCCUGAGAGGGCGCACGGCCAUACUGGAACUGAAACACGGUCCAGACUCCUACGGGAGGCAGCAGUGGGGAUUUUUGCGCAAUGGGGGAAACCCUGACGCAGCAACGCCGCGUGGAGGAUGUAGUCCCUUGGGACGUAAACUCCUUUCGACCCGGACGAUAAUGACGGUACUGGUGGAAGAAGCCCCGGCUAACUUCGUGCCAGCAGCCGCGGUAAUAAGGU
rnacentral:rRNA from 1 species